UUUCCGUAGGUGAACCUGCGGAAGGAUCAUUACAGUAGUCGCCUGGGUUGCCGCAAGGCCUCCCGGGUAACCUACCACCCUUUGUUUAUUACACUUUGUUGCUUUGGCAGGCCUGCCCUCGGGCUGCUGGCUCCGGCCGGCGAGCGCUUGCCAGAGGACCUAAACUCUGUUUGUCUAUACUGUCUGAGUACUAUAUAAUAGUUAAAACUUUCAACAACGGAUCUCUUGGUUCUG
rnacentral:misc_RNA from 1 species